CGCUGGCGGCGUGCCUAAUACAUGCAAGUCGAGCGGAAUGAUGAAGAAGCUUGCUUCUUCUGAUUUUAGCGGCGGACGGGUGAGUAACAUGUGGGCAACCUACCUUGUAGAUUGGGAUAACUCCGGGAAACCGGGGCUAAUACCGAAUAAUCCAUUUUGCUUCAUGGCGAGAUGUUGAAAGACGGUUUCGGCUGUCACUACAAGAUGGGCCCGCGGCGCAUUAGCUAGUUGGUAGGGUAAUGGCCUACCAAGGCGACGAUGCGUAGCCGACCUGAGAGGGUGAUCGGCCACACUGGGACUGAGACACGGCCCAGACUCCUACGGGAGGCAGCAGUAGGGAAUCUUCCACAAUGGACGAAAGUCUGAUGGAGCAACGCCGCGUGAGUGAAGAAGGUUUUCGGAUCGUAAAACUCUGUUGUAAGGGAAGAACACGUACGAGAGUAACUGCUCGUACCUUGACGGUACCUUAUUAGAAAGCCACGGCUAACUACGUG
rnacentral:rRNA from 1 species